rnacentral:rRNA from 1 species
CCUACGGGAGACUGCAGUGAGGAAUAUUGGUCAAUGGACGAGAGUCUGACGCAGCGACGCCGCGUGAGGGAUGAAGGUCUUCGGAUCGUAAACCUCUGUCAGCAGGGAAGAACGGUCACUGUGCUAAUCAGCAGUGAAUUGACGGUACCUGCAAAGGAAGCACCGGCUAACUCCGUGCCAGCAGCCGCGGUAAUACGGAGGGUGCGAGCGUUAAUCGGAAUUACUGGGCGUAAAGCGCUCGUAGGCGGUAUGUCAAGUCAAGGGUGAAAUCCCCGCGCUCAACGUGGGAACUGCCUUUGAAACUGGCAAACUGGAGUGUGUGAGAGGAUAGUGGAAUUCCAGGUGUAGGAGUGAAAUCCGUAGAUAUCUGGAGGAACAUCAGUGGCGAAGGCGACUAUCUGGCACAUAACUGACGCUGAGGAGCGAAAGCGUGGGUAGCAAACAGGAUUAGAUACCCUAGUAGUC